UACGUAGGGGGCAAGCGUUGUCCGGAUUUAUUGGGCGUAAAGAGCGUGUAGGCGGCCAGACAGGUCCGUUGUGAAAACUCGAGGCUCAACCUCGAGACGCCGAUGGAAACCGUCUGGCUAGAGUCCGGAAGAGGAGAGUGGAAUUCCACGUGUAGCGGUGAAAUGCGUAGAGAUGUGGAGGAACACCAGUGGCGAAGGCGACUCUUUGGUCUGUAACUGACGCUGAGGCGCGAAAGCGUGGGGAGCAAACAGG
rnacentral:rRNA from 1 species